rnacentral:lncRNA from 1 species
AGUUAAAUACGUAAUUAGAUAUAAAUAAGUUAAUUUAGGUGAUAAACACGGUUAAUGUAUAAUUGGAUAUUCAUUUGGAUUCUAAAGCAACUCAUAACAGUUAGAGUCCAUCUAAAGUAGUAUAAAUAGCAGAAGAGGCACAAUACCUAAGGUAUUCACUUUUUACUCUUUUGAUACUUAGCUCUCAGACUAACUUGAUCAUCAGAAUGUCUUUGCAGGUACCCCAUCAUAUCCAAAUCAAAGGAGAUCCAGCAGAAAGAAACCUAACCGAAAAAUAAGAAAGACAAAAAGAUUGUAAGAGAAAAGAAUCAUCAAUAUAUCAAUAUAUCUCAUGUAUUGUGUAUUUUAUCUUUAAAAUUAUUUAAAUAACUUCAACCAUUGUAAUUGAAAUAUUAUUCAUUUUAGAAUUCAUUACGAUAUAAUUUUAUGAUUAAAAAAUAUCUUUAUAAAUUAAAAAAAAACUGUAUAUAAAUUAUUAUUAAUCUCCGUUAUAUAUUGAGCUAGCGGAAUAUAAUUAUAUAUAUGUAUGAUAAUGAGUGAUUGAAAUUUGGAGUGUGCGUGUGUGAUGUGUGAAGUGAAGGAGAUACAGUUAUAGCAGUGAGCAGAGAAUAGAAGAAGAAAAAGUGUUUAGGGAUGAAGAGGGAGCGCCAAAACCUUGCUUCCACCGCAGGCACCUCAAGCAGCGGCUACU